CCUACGGGCGGCUGCAGUGGGGAAUUGUUCGCAAUGGACGAAAGUCUGACGACGCAACGCCGCGUGAAGGAUGAAGGUCUUCGGAUUGUAAACUUCUGUUGGGUGGGAAGAACUGUUUCCGGAUCAAUACCCCGGGAAUUUGACGGUACCACCUGAGGAAGCCCCGGCUAACUCUGUGCCAGCAGCCGCGGUAAUACAGAGGGGGCAAGCGUUGUUCGGAAUUACUGGGCGUAAAGGGCGCGUAGGCGGCCUAUUAAGUCAGACGUGAAAUCCCU
rnacentral:rRNA from 1 species